AGACAGUGAAGGUACUAACCCUUACUGAGGACCUGCCCAACUCUGUAGAAGGCGCUCAGUGUAUGCUUUUAAACGAGUGAGAAGACCCGGGGUCCCCAUUGCAGAACCCAACCAGAAGCCAGGAUCAGGACCUGUUGAUGUCCCAGCCUCCACAGCAGAAAGCUGGGUGGAGAAUGUUUGAGUGUGGAUCUGGAAGGCAAACAAAAGGGUAUGGAAAGAAAAGAGCUUGUGUUCUUUAUUUGGGAAGGAGUGGGAUGGAGAGAAGAGACCAGCAACAGUAGGUGAGACAUGAAUGAGAAGAUGACUUUGGUGGAAACUGGAUCGAUAUUGGUGCAUGAGUAGACAAGGAGACACAAAAUCCCAUGGAGGAUUUCUGAUUCUGUGUGCACGUGGCCUGUGUGCUUCUAUGUGUGUGUGUGUGUCUGUGGUCUGUCUAUACAUCUGUGGUGCAUUUGUGUGUAUGUAUGUUCAUAUAUGGUGUGUGUCUCUGUGGUGUUUUGUCUCUGUAGUGGGUGUUUGAAAUCAUGGGGUGUGUGUGGAGUGGUGUGUGUGUGUGUGUCUGUGAUCUUUGCACAUGGGGUGUAUUUGUGUGUGGUCUCUGCAGUCUGUGUAUAUGUAUCUGUGUCGUAUGUGUAUGUGUGGUGUUUAUAUGUCUCUGUGUGCGUGUGUGGUCUCUGUGUGUAUGUGCAUAUGAGAAACUGAAUUAUAAGGAAGAUUUUUUUUUAAUUGUUUGGCUGAGCUCUAGAAGGGCUUAUAAAAAUACAGGACUUGAGCAAAAUUAACAUUGGUAGAGGUUCUGAACAGCAUAUAUUGUCCUAGAAACUUUGCUUUAUUGCACAGAGCCAGGAGAUAUCUUCAUCCUUAAACAUCUUUUAAAACGGCUUUAAAGUCCUUGAA